GUAGGUGGCAAGCGUUGUCCGGAAUUAUUGGGCGUAAAGCGCGCGCAGGCGGUUCUCUAAGUCUGAUGUGAAAGCCCACGGGCUCAACCGUGGAGGGUCAUUGGAAACUGGAGAACUUGAGUACAGAAGAGGAAAGCGGAAUUCCACGUGUAGCGGUGAAAUGCGUAGAGAUGUGGAGGAACACCAGUGGCGAAGGCGGCUUUCUGGUCUGUAACUGACGCUGAGGCGCGAAAGCGUGGGGAGCAAACAGGAUUAGAUACCCUGGUAGUCCACGCCGUAAACGAUGAGUGCUAAGUGUUAGGGGGUUUCCGCCCCUUAGUUCUGCAGCUAACGCAUUAAGCACUCCGCCUGGGGAGUACGGCCGCAAAGGCUG
rnacentral:rRNA from 1 species